AGUGGGGAAUAUUGCACAAUGGGCGCAAGCCUGAUGCAGCGACGCCGCGUGGGGGAUGACGGCCUUCGGGUUGUAAACUCCUUUCGCUAGGGACGAAGCUUUUUGUGACGGUACCUAGAUAAGAAGCACCGGCUAACUACGUGCCAGCAGCCGCGGUAAUACGUAGGGUGCGAGCGUUGUCCGGAAUUACUGGGCGUAAAGGGCUCGUAGGUGGUUUGUCGCGUCGUCUGUGAAAUUCCGGGGCUUAACUCCGGGCGUGCAGGCGAUACGGGCAUAACUUGAGUACUGUAGGGGUAACUGGAAUUCCUGGUGUAGCGGUGAAAUGCGCAGAUAUCAGGAGGAACACCGAUGGCGAAGGCAGGUUACUGGGCAGUUACUGACGCUGAGGAGCGAAAGCAUGGGUAGCGAA
rnacentral:rRNA from 1 species